UAUCAUCUGCCUAUUGAUAUUAGAGUGACU
rnacentral:piRNA from 1 species